UAAGAAAAAUCGCCCCACUCCCUUUCCCACGUUGAAACCGCCUCUCUCUCCACUCACUCCAUAAAUCUCUCCUACAUCUAAACCAAAUCACCUCCUCUCUAUACGUUCAUCAAUCAAUUUUCCUAUUUUUCCCAUCUCUGCAACAAGAUCUCAUUUCUCUGAAAUCCACGACAAACCUUGAAGAAUUGCCGAAUUCUCAAUCCAGUCUCAACCGUGGUUCAAAGAAUCUCCCUUUUCACCCUUGUGAACUCCACAACCAAGUCCAAUUAACGGAGGUGAGACUUCGCAAGGGAAUCGAGAUACCAAAGGGAAGGAAGUGUAGAGAAUUAAGCAAUUGAGGUUGAGCGGCGACGAGGAUGUGGUGGUGUUGAGCAAGUGAAUUUAAGAUAUUAUUAUUAUCUCUGAACCUUGAGAGUCGUUGUGUCCUCACACAUGGCGUCACUCUUUCUCUUGGUCGUUUCCGCUGUGACUUUUCAAUUAUUCAUGUUUUAUUUGGGCCGACAGCUUUAAUUGUUAGGAUAAUGGCUUUUCCGAAUUUCUUGUUGGAUAAUAUUAAACUCUUGGUUAUUUAAUUGGAUAUUAAUAGUUGGUCCAACUUGUGUUGAAAUCC